ACUCUCCUAUUGGUGUAAAAUUAUAUUUCAACUUUUGUUCCCUUCUAUACCCCUGUCUUGGAUGUGGGUUAUAAGGAACUUGAAUAUUUUGUGGAGGCUAGUGAAGAUUUUGUGACACUCGUGGUCGCCUUCUUGAGUGAUUUGGUGGCUGGACAACAUACUGAGGUGCAGCAACAGAGUAUUGAGGGUUCUGAGGUAGAUAAUAUUGCUCAGGGUUGUCAAGGAAAACCCGAGGAGGCCGAUCAUACCUUUGAGAUGUUCUUCUGGGACCUCUUCUCGACCGUGUUGUCACC
rnacentral:lncRNA from 1 species